rnacentral:lncRNA from 1 species
UUUACUUAUUAUUGUAUAUAUAAUUUGUAUAUUUAUAAUAUUUACUUAUUAUUUAUUUUUCUAUAUAUUGAGUAUUUCUCUUUCUUAUACUUUAUAUUUAGUUAAUUUAUAUAUUUUAUAUUUUAAGAUAGAUGUUUAAAUCUUAAUGUAUUUUUCCAUUUUUAGUGUAAAGCGGCAAUGUUUAAUAGAAGAACUUGGACAAAUAGUCAAAUAGUUAUAUUUAUGUUUUUUUUUCUUUUUUUAUAUAAUGGCAAUGUUAUAUUAUGGAAAUAAGCCGGUUUUUAGUGAAAAUUGUAAUCUUACAUAUGUUUAAUGUAGUUUUUCUAUUUUUUUUAUGUUGUGUGUUUACAUAUUAUUGUUAUUUUUAAAUGUAAAAUGGUAAUCUUACAUAUGUUUAAUGUAGUAUUUCCAUUUUUUAUGUUGUAUGUUUACAUAUUAUUUAUUAUUUUUGAAAUUAUAUAUAAUGUUUUUUUUACAAAAUAGUAAUAUUACAUUAUGGAGAUAAGCCGUCUUUUUUUUAGUGAAAAAUGGUAAUCUUACAUAUGUUUAAUUAAUGUAGUUUUUCUAUUUUUUAUGUUGUAUGUUUACAUAUUAUUAUUUUUAAAUAAAAAUGUAAAAUGGUAAUCUUACAUAUGUUUAAUGUAGUAUUUCUAUUUUUUAUGUUGUAUGUUUACAUAUAUUUAUUAUUUUUGAAAUUGUAUAUAAUGUUUUUUUUUUUUUUUUUUUUAUAAAACGGUAAUGUUACAUUAUGGAGAUAAGCCGUCUUUUUUUUAAGUGAAAAAUGGUAAUCUUACAUAUGUUUAAUGUAGUUUUUCUAUUUUUUGUGUUGUAUGUUUACAUAUUAUUUAUAAUUUUCAAAAAUGUGUAAUAUUAAAAUGUAAAACUAUAUUUUAUGCCACGUGUCAUCUUUCGAGAGAAGUUUUUUUUGCUGAUGUGGACGCUCUAUGGAGCCUCAAAAGGUCCCUUUUAUUAGUUCUAUAUAUUGAGUAUUUCUCUUUCUUAUACUUUAUAUUUAGUUAAUUUAUAUAUUUUAUAUUUUAAGAUAGAUGUUUAAAUCUUAAUGUAUUUUUCCAUUUUUAGUGUAAAGCGGCAAUGUUUAAUAGAAGAACUUGGACAAAUAGUCAAAUAGUUAUAUUUAUGUUUUUUUUUCUUUUUUUAUAUAAUGGCAAUGUUACAUUAUGGAGAUAAGCCGGUUUUUAGUGAAAAUUGUAAUCUUACAUAUGUUUAAUGUAGUUUUUCUAUUUUUUUUAUGUUGUGUGUUUACAUAUUAUUGUUAUUUUUAAAUGUAAAAUGGUAAUCUUACAUAUGUUUAAUGUAGUAUUUCCAUUUUUUAUGUUGUAUGUUUACAUAUUAUUUAUUAUUUUUGAAAUUAUAUAUAAUGUUUUUUUUACAAAAUAGUAAUAUUACAUUAUGGAGAUAAGCCGUCUUUUUUUUAGUGAAAAAUGGUAAUCUUACAUAUGUUUAAUUAAUGUAGUUUUUCCAUUUUUUAUGUUGUAUGUUUACAUAUUAUUAUUUUUAAAUAAAAAUGUAAAAUGGUAAUCUUACAUAUGUUUAAUGUAGUAUUUCUAUUUUUUAUGUUGUAUGUUUACAUAUAUUUAUUAUUUUUGAAAUUGUAUAUAAUGUUUUUUGUUUUUUUUAUAAAACGGUAAUGUUACAUUAUGGAGAUAAGCCGUCUUUUUUUUAAGUGAAAAAUGGUAAUCUUACAUAUGUUUAAUGUAGUUUUUCUAUUUUUUGUGUUGUAUGUUUACAUAUUAUUUAUAAUUUUCAAAAAUUUGUAAUAUUAAAAUGUAAAACUAUAUUUUAUGCCACGUGUCAUCUUUCGAGAGAAGUUUCUUUUGCUGAUAUGGACGCUCUAUGGAGCCUCAAAAGGUCGCUUUUAUUAGUAGAGACUAGGGAUUAACCCGGGCUACGCCCGGGAUUUUUAUUUUUUCUAAUUUAAGUUGUUAAAUUAUUUAUAUUUAGGCUAUGAUAUAUAUUUAUAUAAAUGUUAAAGUGCAUAUCAUAAUUAAAAUUUAUUUUUAAAUUUUAAAACGUUAAAUUAACAUAUUUUUAAAACGUUAAAUUAACAUAUUUUUUUAAUAAAAUGGAGCCAUGGUAUAAUCAGUGGUGUAUAACAUGAUUUGGUAAGUAAUAUAUGAG